rnacentral:ncRNA from 2 species
AUCUUAUCAAGAGCAGGUGGAGGGACUGGCCCAAUGAAACCCGGCAACCGGCGUAUAACGCACGGUGCUAAUUCUUGCAGAGACGCGUAGGUGUAAUGAUCUGCGGCGCGUUGUCUGACAGAUGAGAG